GAUGAACGCUGGCGGCGUGCCUAAUACAUGCAAGUCGAGCGAACAGACGAGGAGCUUGCUCCCCUGACGUUAGCGGCGGACGGGUGAGUAACACGUGGAUAACCUACCAAUAAGACUGGGAUAAUUUCGGGAAACCGGAGCCAAUACCGGCUAAUAUAUUCAACCGCAUGGUUCAAUAGUGAAAGACGGUUUUGCUGUCACUUUUAGAUGGAUCCGCGCCGCAUUAGCUAGUUGGUAAGGUAACGGCUUACCAAGGCAACGAUGCGUAGCCGAGCUGAGAGGGUGAUCGGCCACACUGGAACUGAGACACGGUCCAGACUCCUACGGGAGGCAGCAGUAGGGAAUCUUCCGCAAUGGGCGAAAGCCUGACGGAGCAACGCCGCGUGAGUGAUGAAGGUCUUCGGAUCGUAAAACUCUGUUAUUAGGGAAGAACAAAUGUGUAAGUAACUAUGCACGUCUUGACGGUACCUAAUCAGAAAGCCACGGCUAACUACGUG
rnacentral:rRNA from 1 species